GUAUUGUAUUGCGUUAAACGCGGCAUACAUUCCAUGAGACUUUAUUACAGCGUGUGUGUGUGUAAAUACAUAGAACCACAGCAAGGGGGGACAGAACCCCCCAGGCUGGAGAACUACGGAGGGUGCACAGGUGUGAGUGGAUGUGCAAACAGAGCGUGCACAUGCCCCCGUUUGAGGACCAGCAACAACUCGUUGACAAUUCGGUAAUGAUCCUUCCGCAGGUUCACCUACGGAAA
rnacentral:misc_RNA from 1 species